AUGGCGGCGGAAGACAUCGCAAGACUGGAGUUGGAGAAAACUAAUCCGAAGAAGGAUCCCGACGAGCGGUCUUACCAAUAUUACCGAGAGAACUGGGAGUGGAAAUAUGCCGAAGAGUUCGGCUCCUUCGAGGCCACGACUCGGAUCCCAGCCAUGUGUUUCACGGACAAGCCGACGAAGCCUGGUGUUACUAACCCCGAGCGUAGUAUGCAGAUCUUUUCAGUUAAAGUUGAGGAAAUAUAUGGGGAUUUACAUUGGCCGCUGGAUGUGUUUGGUAUCGUUGCUGUGAGGGAUGACCUGGAUCACCAUCGCAAUAUUAUCUUUGAGCGCAAAAGGGAUAACUGUCAAACUCUCAAUGAGGAGGAUCCAUAUUUAUUAUUAACAGGUCCUACCCGUGCUCCCGUGACUCUGUUUGGGCCUAUGCAUUUCGAUAUCACGCUGAAAGUGAAGCGCAGCAAUGAGUUAGAGGACAAAGAUCUAAGCCUGCUAGGCUUUCGCUACGAGUGCUGCAAGUCAAUCAAUUAUCAAGCGAGUAAGGGAGAGUGCGCCCUCAGAUCAUGCGUGAGCAGCCAAAAACAUAGAAGCAAGCUGAGCACAUUGGAGCUGACAUGUGGCAUUGUAGUCUCAUCCAUUGAGGCCACAAUCAGUGUGUGUAUUGUUGGCGGGUCCUGGCCAGAUGGAUUCAGCGGGCGGUUCAUUGCCUCGACUGCUAGCGUCAGUCACAUGAGGGUGUUACUGCUCAAUAUUGGAGAUAAGGAUACGCCUGUUGUUGCUGCUGAUGGCACCAUUGAGCUGUCACGACGCGUGGUUUCUGUUGAAAGCUUUGGGGAGCUGAGAGUGCAUGCAGCAGGUUGGCUAGGCAGCCAGCAGAUUGACCGAGAGGUGUUCUUUCAACCAUUAGAAUCUGGCAGAAGCUCUCGUUCGCUUAAGGUUGGCUCGUGUGAAAUGGAAGUUACCGUUGGCUGGUCCCUUUUCCCGUUAUGUUAUCCCACUGACCGUAUUCCUUCACCCAAGAAUGGAUGA
rnacentral:rRNA from 1 species